CCUAGGCAACGUCCUAGCAACCCUGAAUGGGAGUGUGUUGGACAGCCCUUCAGAGAACCCCAGCACAGCGGCCACAGAGACCGAGGGGCAGAAGCUGAAGAACGUCCUGGUGCUGAGUGGAGGAGAAGGGUACAUCGAUUUCCGGAUUGGGGAUGGAGAAGAUGAUGAGACAGAGGAGAAUGCAGGAGAUGCCACCCAGGUGAAGCCAGUACUUUCCAAGGCUGAAAGAAGCCACAUUAUUGUGUGGCAAGUAUCAUAUAUCCCGGAGUGAGAAUUUCUCCUUUCCCACCAAUGUAAGUGUCCCUCCUUCCACCUGAAUGCCAAAAUGUACAUACAGAAUGCCUGCAUUAUACCUACUGCUGGAAACCGACCCCAGACAACUGCAAUGGCUCCUGCCUCGGACUGUGACUCCCUUCUAACCUCUGAACUCGCAGCUUUCAUCUUGGGCCCGUGCACUUUCUGUGUGGUUGGAUUAUUGUUCUGCUCUGGAGUUGGCAUCUACAAGGAGAGAAAUGGCAGUGCAUCAAUGAAGUUUGGAGCUCGAACUGUGUAAAGCCUUUGCCCAAUGAUCGGGAGCUGGCAGCUUGAUGGGUGGUGGCUCAGGUUCUCCGGAAGGUUGCCUCAUUCCCACCUGCAUGAGAAGAAGUACGUCCCCCUGGCAUCCCUUGCCAAAGCAGUGGUGGUGAAUCACAACUUCUGCAGCACCCUAGCAGAAAUCCUUUCUAGUUCACCAGUGGACUCUCCUCCUUAUCCACCCUUAAGCACAGAAUAAUGUCGCACAGACUGAGAGCAGCCAGGUUCAAUGAACCCUCAAUAGAAAGGAGUCUCAGGGUUUGGGCAGCACUUCUACACUUUGGUUGGAGAAGGCAGCAGUGCCAUUACUGUGGGGAACACAUCCUCCGUACUGGGAGAUGGAAGGUCUCCCUCCUCUGCUGCUGUUGUCUCAGCAGUCGUGUGCUGGGUGACUGUGUGUGUCCAGAGAGGAUUGUUUGGUAGCCUCGGAUGGGAGACAGGUGUUUGAUCGUGGAGGCCACAGGGCCUUUGGAAACUGUGGUAGCAAAGGGGUACUGGAACCUUGUUUUUUUAAGAGCAGAAAAGGCAGAAAUACGUUAACUCCCCUUUCUAAAAAUGCCAGGCAGAAAAGAACUCUUGAGUUCAUUCUGAAAGGUUCAGGAGAAAGCUAUCUCCGAGUAGCAUUUUUUGGCUUUCAGAAUACAGGUGAGGGCAGAUGAUGUUGGUCUGCUGUGAAUUCUGCAUUAACACACUGAGGUUACUGUGACUCAUGAGGUUGUGCCCUCAUCCCGGGAACUGAUGGAAGGAAGGAGAUGGCUGUUUUCCUUCACACUGUGGCUGUUGGUUAGGAAAGACUGUGUAGGUGCGGUCAAGGAAUAGAAAGGCUGUGUCUCGCCUAAGGUCACACAGAAAAAGGAAUUGAGGCCAGAUCUCCCAACCUCUUUUACCCAACAUUGUAAGCAUCGACCUCGUUACUAAGCAGUUUGAAAAGCUGGACAUUUCUCACUCCUGUAAAGAAUUGACAACCCCCCAAGAGAAAUUCUGACAGUCCUUCUUGUGUAAACAGUGCUGGGGGAUUGCAAAUGCAUGUCCUGCUUACAAGAGACACAGCCAAAAAUGAGGCCAGGGAGAGUGGUUCUGAGCUCCAGAUGCAGCACACGGCAGCUCCAGAUGUAGAGGCAAUGGUUUGUCCUCCCUUUCUGACUGUGGAAACAGUCCUGUCUCCACAAGGACAAGUUCUGUUUCCUUUGAACACUCCCUCCUGGAUGUGUAGGACUAGAGUGCAUAGCAGGUGUUAACAAUGCAUUUGGAGGCUCCUGGUGGUCAUCUUGUUUCUUCCCUGAGCUGUGCAGAACUCCAGGGUUCACAGGGAUGUCCUUGUGCCAAUGUGACAGUAUGAGGACAGCUGGGAAGCUCCCAGUGGUGUCCUGUGCUUGUCACCAUGCACCAGGCUGUCCCCAAGGUUGAUGGUCUAAAGCUAUGUAUGUGCUGCAGGGAUGCAGUAUUCCCAGGGAAGCUCUAACAUGUGGCAUCUGUCCUGAUGCAGCAGCACUGAAAUGCUUUUUGGAUCCACAGUUCAGAAAAGGCUGGAACAAUAGGACAUCACUGGAGAAGAGAGACCUCAGCCACCCAAGUACGAAGCCACAGUGGUGCCCAUGCUGCCUGUGAGCAGUGCUGGUGACACGCACACCCACACUGCUCUUUACUGAGGUAGGGAACCUGUUGGAUGGUGUCCUCCAGCCACUGGCACGCCUGGCUCUGUGCCUGGCAUUUGGCUAAGGAAUGCUCGGAGCCACCACCUGCAUGCAGGGAGACCUUUCACCAGACAUGUCACUGCUGCUGACCAUGCCAGGCUUCUCAUUCACUUUCUCAAAAUGCUUUCUGCUAGGAAGAGCUCUUUGGAUUGUAACACAGAGUGCAGUUAAGUUAACAAGAUCAACAUUUAGACCACAGGCUCCACAGACAUGUUCAUCUGUUAGGGCCAGGUAAAUGUCAUAAUUCAGGCUAAUUGAAGGAACAACAAAAAAGAAAAAGCUGUAGUAAGCCCAGUUCCUUAGCUCUGUCGACUCUUCCGUAGGAAAACACAGAAUUGCAACGUUCUUACCUCUUCUUGUUUGUUCUGUAUCUGGUUUUAGCAGUUGAAGUGACAGUACUCGGUCUGCUGUCACCCACUGGGCCCUGGCAACAUAAGGAAACCAGUCUCGGGCCUCUACCAACAGGUUCCUUUCCAGCCCAGUGCGUGUUUUCCUCCAAGAGAAGCACAUGUCCAAAAGGGGCAGCUCCAGCAAAGUAGAACCAGCCUCUGCUGUCAGCUCCUGUGGGCACUUGGUGGCUGCUGGGCAGCAAGGUGAGAACUGACUGGCUUCAACACACUUCCCUGUCAUAUCUCCACUGUGAUGUAUGUAAAGUAUCUUGUAUGUUACAAAAGGAUUUUAAAAAGUGUCUUAAGGCCUGUAAACUCUGCUAUUUGGUCUGAAGAUGGCAUUCUGUAAAGAGACUGCUGUAUGAAUACGUCCCCAUGCUUUGUUCCCUAUGCUAUCAAACAACAAACCAUAUCUGUUCUGUAUGUAAUAAAUGUGUUAACAUCAGCAAGCGCAA